rnacentral:rRNA from 1 species
GAUGAACGCUGACAGAAUGCUUAACGCAUGCAAGUCAACUUGAACUUCGGUUUGGGUGGCGGACGGGUGAGUAACGCGUAAAGAACUUGCCUCACAGUUAGGGACAACAUUUGGAAACGAAUGCUAAUACCUGAUAUUAUGAUUUUAGGGCAUCCUAGAAUUAUGAAAGCUAUAUGCGCUGUGAGAGAGCUUUGCGUCCCAUUAGCUAGUUGGAGAGGUAACGGCUCACCAAGGCGAUGAUGGGUAGCCGGCCUGAGAGGGUGAACGGCCACAAGGGGACUGAGACACGGCCCUUACUCCUACGGGAGGCAGCAGUGGGGAAUAUUGGACAAUGGACCAAGAGUCUGAUCCAGCAAUUCUGUGUGCACGAUGAAGUUUUUCGGAAUGUAAAGUGCUUUCAGUUGGGAAGAAAAAAAUGACGAUACCAACAGAAGAAGUGACGGCUAAAUACGUG